GACUGAGAGGUUGAACGGCCACAUUGGGACUGAGACACGGCCCAGACUCCUACGGGAGGCAGCAGUGGGGGAUAUUGCGCAAUGGGGGCAACCCUGACGCAGCAACGCCGCGUGAAGGAUGAAGUUUUUCGGAAUGUAAACUUCUUUUAGAAGGACGAAAAUUUGCCGGUACUUAAUGAAUAAGCUCCGGCUAACUACGUG
rnacentral:rRNA from 1 species